ensembl:lncRNA
CUGAGCCACUAUGCAAUUUUAUACAGUACCAGUCAAAAGUUUGGACACCUACUCAAAGGGUUUUUCUUUAUUUUUACUAUUUUCUACAUUGUAGAAUAAUAGAAUACAUCAAAACUGUGUGUGUGUGUGGAGUCGUAUAGUAAUCAAAAAUAUGUUAAACAAAUGAAAAUAUGUUUUUAAGAUUCUUCAAAGUAGCCACCUUUGCUUUGAUGACAGCUUUGCAUUCUUGCAACUGACUUCAUGAGGUAGUCACCUGAAAUGCUUUUCCAACAGUCUUGAAGGAGUUCCCACAUAUGCUGAGCAUUUGUUGGUUGCUUUUCCUUCACUCUGCAGUCCAACUCAUCCUAAACCAUCUCAAUUGGGUUGAGGUCAGGUGAUCUGGGUCAUUGUCCUGUUAAAAACAAAUGAUAGUCCCACUAAGCCAAACCAGAUGGGACGUUGUAUCGCUGCAGAAUGCUGUGGUAGCCAUGCUGGUUAAGUGUGCCUUUCAUUCAAAUAAAUCACAGUGUCACCAGCAAAGCACCUCCACACCAUCACACCAUAACACCUCCUCCAUGCUUCACGGUGGGAACUAGACAUGUGGAGAUCAUCCGUUCACCUACUCUGCAUCUCACAAAGACAUGGCGGUUGGAACCAAAAAUAAAAAAUAUGGACCCAUCAGACCAAAGGACAGAUUUCCACUGGUCUAAUGUCCAUUGCUCGUGUUUCUUGGCCCAAGCAAGUCUCUUCUUCUUAUUGGUGUCCUUUAGUAGUGGUUUCUUUGCAGCAAUUCAACCAUGACGGUCUGAUUCACGCAGUCUCCUCUGAACAGUUGAUGUUGAGAUGUCUGUUACUUGAACUCUGAAGCAUUUAUUUGAGCUGCAAUUUCUGAGGCUGAACUUAACCUCAGUAGUAAAGGUAACUCUGGGUCUUCCUUUCCUGUGGCGGUCCUCAUGAGAGACAGUUUCAUCAUAGUGCUUGAUGGUUUUUGCGACUGCACUUGAAGUUCAAAGUUCUUAAUUUUCCAGAUUGACUGACCUUCAUGUCUUAAAGUCAAGAUGGACUGUCGUUUCUCUUUGCUAAUUUGAGCUGUUCUUGCCAUAACAUGGACUUAGCCCUAUUUGGUAAAAUACCAUCUUCUGUAUACCACCACUACCAUGUCACAACACAACUGAUUGGCUCAAACACAUUAAGUGGGAAAGAAAUUCCAUAAAUGAACGUUUAACAAUGCACACCUGUUAAUUGAAAUGCAUUCCAGGUGACUAACACAUGAAGCUGGUUGAGAGAAUACCAAGAGUGUGCAAAGCUGUUAUCAAGGAAAAGGUUGUCUUGAAGAAUCUCGUAAAAUAUUUUGAUUUGUUUAACACUUUUGGUUACAUGAUUUCAUAGUGAAGACAUCAAAACUAUUCUACAAUAUAGAAAAUAGUAAAAAUAAAGAAAAACCCUGGAAUGAGUAAGUGUCCAAGCUUUUGACAGGUAGUUUGUGUAUGUAUGUGAGAAACUUUAUUUGUUAUCAUUUAUGGCAAUGUUUUGCUCUAGAUUGCAGGAAAUGGCAGUUACAGGUGUUAAAAAAUACAACUAUCCCGGAGUCCAAAACCCUGGUGGAGAACCCUGAAAUAAGGUUUUGUGUUAUUGAUUUUUAUAAUAUAUACGAUUGGUAGGUCGUAAUAUGGAAGGUAAUAUGUUGCUAGAUUGUGUAAUGAACACGAUGGGAGACAGAGCUGGUUUAAAGAGCAGGGCGCAGGUGUUUAUUGGAGGAGGCAGGUAGCUGGGUCCAGGGGCAGGCAGAAGGUCAUACACAGGAGGAGGCAGGUAGCUGGGUUCAGGGGCAGGCAGAAGGUCAUACACAGGAGGAGGCAGGUAGCUGGGUCCAGGGGCAGGCAGAAGGUCAUACACAGGAGGAGGCAGGUAGCUGGGUCCAGGGGCAGGCAGAAGGUCAUACACAGGAGGAGGCAGGGAAAAGGCUGGUAACGUAGUCCGGGAGACCAGGCAAUAGGUAGAUAACAGGCUGAAGUACAGGUAGAUAAUAGGCAAAAACUAUCAUUCACGGGAAAAACAGCUCUCCGAAAGAAGUGUCACAAAACAAACAAUACCUCACAGUGAAAGAACUGAACUAAAUAGUGUGUGAUAAUGACAUACAGGUGUGUGAACAGGUGAUCAGAAUUCAGGUGAUUGGGAUCUGGAGAGUGAGCUGUGUUCAGGGGAUCUAUGUGUUUGAGUGUGAGAGCUGGAAGCAGACGUUACAGAUUGGCCCUAUCUAGAAGAGACCCCUACCCCCUGCUCUUGAGUCUAGACCCUUGUGUGGAUCUUGGAGAAUUGUAUGUGUGUAUAAGUAAUAUGUUAAUAACAUCACUUUUCCCUCUGACAGGAUAGGUGGAAGUUACACCCUAUUCCUAUCCAAUCACCUCUGAUCUAAGGUUUAGACUUGAGUAGGGGCUAGGGUUGUUUCUGGACGGGGCUAGAUUGUUUUGUGAUGUCAUUGAUAUUUUCUACCUGCCAGUAUCAACAUUAUCAUGCUCUAGUAAUGUUUCAAUACCAGUCUUGGUGGUUAUGGCUCAGCCAGGUUGAACUGUAGUGGUAGUUAGGGCUCAGCCAGGUUGAACUGUAGUGGUAGUUAGGGCUCAGCCAGGUUUUUUUCAUAUUUUGAAAGAUGGGGGGGUAAAUUACCUCCAUUUAAUUUACACUUCUUUGUUUUGUUCAUUUCUAUGAUGAUGUGAUUGGG